rnacentral:rRNA from 1 species
AUACGGAGGGUGCAAGCGUUACUCGGAAUCACUGGGCGUAAAGCGCGCGCAGGCGGCUAUUUAAGUUGGAUGUGAAAGCCUACGGCUCAACCGUAGAACUGCAUCCAAAACUAUUUAGCUAGAGUGUGUGAGAGGAAGAUGGAAUUAGUUGUGUAGGGGUAAAUUCCGUAGAGAUAACUAGGAAUACCAAAAGCGAAGGCAAUCUUCUGGAACACUACUGACGCUGAGGCGCGAAAGCGUGGGGAGCAAACGGGAUUAGAAACCCUAGUAGUCC